GUCAGUGAGCUAUUUAUUGCCGCCAAUAGCGCUUCGCUUGCAUGCAAGGCGGCACGCCAGGUAGAGCUAUCGCUAAGGGCGAAGGAGAUGCAUUUCUGUACUGGUAGUACUGGACAAGCUCUCAGGGAAUAAUCUCUUUCUUAUUUCUGCCUUUCUUUCCCAUGACGACUAGGAACAGGCAAAUCAAAAAUUUCACUUCGAAUUUCGGACCUCAACAUCCUGCUGCUCAUGGUGUCUGGAAGGAAAAUGGGGAGAAUAAGGGAUAGAGAAAGACGAAGGCUGUUCAUCUCAGCUUGCUUUUCUUUUUUUUAAUUUCAUUUUUUUCGAAGUAACUGUUCUUUGUUUUCCCCUAGAAUGUCACUUCUUUUUCUCUUGGAAAAUUUGCAGAGAGACAGACUAAUUCUUUUUAUUUGGUGUUCCUCAAAAUUUGAAAGUUUUUUCCUUUUUAAAGUCAAAAUUCUAAUAUUUCUUCUUUUUUGGAUUAUUUGAUUUUCUAAUUAGAAACUUGAAUCAACAAUAGGUCAAAGGAGGUGGAAAUGAAAAGGAAGUGAAGAAGAGAGAACGGGAAUCUUUGAGUAACUUGGCUCAUGGAAACCAUCCAGAAGGGUUCCCUUUUUUCUAAAUUAAGCUAACUGAACAUGAACAUAUUAUUAGAAAGUAUUAUCCCAAGAACAAAGGUCAUCUGACAUAUAUUGAUCUAAUUAGUAAUUCUCCUGUGAUUAUUAGAGAGGUAGAACAUUAUGAUCGCGGAAGCUUGUGUGGCACAUUUGAUCUGAGUGUAAAUUACUAUUCUAUUACUGUUGAAAUCGUACAUAUCCUUGGUUGUUUUUAAGAUUUUAAAGCACAAUUUCUUGUGGUCUACCUCAUUGUUCUCUUUGGUUGCAUCCCUUAUAAUUUUAUAUGUUUGUAUGUUUUAUAUGAUUCAGUCUAUAUUGGAGGAAAUUUCAUCUACAUGGAUGAAUGUUUCUUUAAGAAUGAAAGAUGACCCAGAAACCGAUAAGGCAUUAGGAUACGUGUUAGAAAUGUGAGAAACUUUUUACUAAUUUUGUCUUUAUUUUAUUCUUUUGCUUGAUAUGGCCUUUCACAUAGGUGAUCAUUUGAUUGAACUUAGGUAUGCAUAUGUUGUGGCAACAGCACUGCAUGGCGUGUGCUAUUUACUUCGUAAAGACUUCAUGCCCCAAGUUCUAACAAUACAUUAUGGGUCUUCCUUUUUUCCCUCAAUGACUUUUAACCAGCAGUUGAAAUUUAACUUCAGUUUUUGUUUGUUAUCAACCACCAUAGGAUUUGGAAGUAGGGAAGAAAUUUAUAAUCUAUUAUACUUAUGGAUGAGACUACAAUUUAAAGGUACAAGGAUCUUUCUUUCUAAUUUGUUAUAUUUAAAGACUAAUGUGUAAGCUGUAAUUUUUUACCUCUUUAAGAUAAUUUUGCCUUCCUAGCCAUAUUUUAUACCAUAAGUUCUUCACUCUACGUCGGCAUUACAAGGAGAAUUAAUAUAUGGAAAGAUUGGAGAAUGGCGUUUUGACAAGUGAUUAUAUCUUAGUAGGCCUCAACCAAGAAACCUCUCUUUGCUUCCUUCAAGUGUUCUUAAAAGUGUGAUAAGUUCAUUGAUAAGUUUCAUUUUCUAGGGAUCCUUUGGGAAAUUAUAAAUACAGGCCACCUAGUAAAAAUAGAAGUUGAUAGAUUGAUCAUUAAGUAAAAAAAUUCGAACCACACCCCAGAGUGAAUUUUUUUAGUUACUGUACCCAAAAGCAAGAUGCAGUUAAAGGCUGUAAUUAGUGUCUCAAUCAUUAUUGGUUCAUCAAAUAGCUUUGUAUUUUAUACUCAGUUCAAAUUACGUUGCAAAUGCUUUAAUCUUCAUUGCGUAGACUGAACAUUAUUUGGGAAAUUCAAAAUUCAAAAUUACAGCUUGAUUUCCUCAUCAUUAUUAGCUUUAGUUAUCAACUCAAUGUGAUUGGGAAUUGAUGACAUUAAGUUGGUGAUAAUCAAUGUCAUAAAUACUACUAAAGUAGCAGCUUGGAACUCAUAUUUUGCCAUUGCCUCUAGAAGCAAUAGCAUAAUCAGUCAAUCGCCCUUAGGUUUUGCUAUUUGCUUUACCAUUAGGACAGUGUUCCCUUUUUUGUUCACUAUAUUUUAGUUAUUUUAAUUUGUAAAUUUAAUAAGUUUAAUAUUUUAUUGGCCUAGAAUGCAAACUUUAUUUUUUAUGUAAUUUUCCUUUCUUUAAAAUUGAAUUAUAUAAUUCUUGACUGUAGGAAGUGAAUUUAUUUCGGUUGAGUUUGUUGAAACUUGCUUUGAUGCAUAAUUUUUUUUUUGGUUAUUUACUUUUUCAACUGAAAUUUAAGGUUUAGUUUUGAAAAGAUGAGACAUUGUAGAGAAGGUCUCAUUGAUUUGUAUGAGGUUUAUAAAUGUGGUGAUUACUUAGCUUGCAAUUGCAAAAACUGUAACUCCCCCGACUUUGUGGGCAUUUUUGUUGUUGUUGGAAUAGGCCUCAUUUUAACAUUUUUUAAUUACUAUUGUUAAAAGGCAUGGUUUGUUGAAUUUGAAGUCAAUGUGUUGAAGUUUCUAACAAUUCCAAAAUCCAAAUUAAACAACUGGUACGUUUUCCUAAGUCAUUAAUGGAGCCUAUGCUAUGUAAUUAGAAAAAAAUAAAAGAUGAUAAAAUGCAGCUGAAGUUUUUAGUUCAACUUUACCACUGGCCAUAACAGUUGCAGUAUCUUCAUAAUUAAGCUACUUAUUAAUGAGUAGAUUAUUUUGGAAGGUUUUUAGUCUCUUGGUAUAUGUAUGAGUGUCACGAACUUAAGGAAGAGUCUUGAAUCUCACAUUGAACAUAAUAAGAGGUUCACUGGGGUAUAAAAGGGUUCACACCACUUCUUCCUUGUGAGGCGUCUUCUGUAGGACAAAAUUGUGAGGUUGGGGGGCCAGAGCGGACAAUACCUCAUAAGGGUGUGAAUCGUGGCAGUUAAGCUGAUCCGGGACAUCGGAUGGGUGAAUGUCCGGGUCCCGGAGUCGUGUGGGUUUGGAGCUUAAGUCUCGACCCGUGACAAGUGGUAUCAGAGCUAGCCCUAAACCGUUCGAUCCAUGUCGAGCGCCUGAGUGAGGUAGGUAGGGUGGCCAGCCUCCAUGACGAAAGCGUCAUGAGGUUGGGUGGGGGAAAAUGUCACGGACCUAAGGAAGAGUCAUAAAUCUCACAUUGAACAUAAUAGGAGGGUUACUGGGUAUAAAAGAGUUUACACCACUUUUUUUAGGAUAAAACUUGUGAGGGUCAGGGGGUCAGUGAGCGGACAAUACCUCAAGGGUGAACUGUGACAGUAGGUUGAUUUGGGAUGUCGGAUGAGUGAAUGCCCGAUCCGAAAUCGUGCGGUUUUUGAAACUUAAGUCUCGACCCGUGACAUGAGAAAGUAGGUAAAGUCAUGGGAAUAUAGAAUUCAUACCCAAAGGAUCUAGAACUGUCAGUGCAUGAGGUUAACAAAAUCAUUUAUAGUAUUGAGGACUUUUUGUUCUCGAAAGGCCAGGUCUAAUGAUCUAAUGAAAAUGGUGACUGCAGAAAUCGGGCUAUGAUUGAUGGAGGUGUAGAUUACAGCUUUGAAUGUGCUGGAAACCUUGAGGUUCUUUUUUGUCUACUUAUACCGUUAAGUCCUUUUCUAUUACUCUUUGCCUCUGGUUUUUUAGUUUCAUUUUGUUAAUAUAAAAAGAAUAAAAUUUUUUAUUUUUCUUACCAUUAAUAAAGCCUUGCAUAUUAGAUUACAAGAAUGAAUGUAAACGGAUUUGAAGGGCAUCAUUUUGGAUAUACAGGAAUGGGGAUUGACUGUACUAUUGGGAAGUCACCCAUGCCCAAUGUUGCUACCUCUCCAUCAAAUUGAGUAAUUUAACGGGCGUCAAAUCUUAUGAUCGAUCUUUGGAGGCUUCUAAGGCAAAACCCGACUACCAAAGUUUGCCAAACAAUGCAUGUGUGGGGUAAGUUAAUGAUCAAGCUCUGGUACUUUCUUUGUAUAUAGUUGAGUUUUUUAAGUCCAAUGCCAUUAAAUUUACAUUGUUGUCAUGGUUAAAAAAUUACUAAUAUAUGUUUGCAGUUGUUUCUGUAAGUUAGGAAAGAUGAUCAUAUAUGUUGGUUCUCAGUUGUGGCUGCAAUCAUAUCUUCUACCUAUUUUUGCGUUGCUCUUGGUUUUGAAAUUGUUAAAGUUGCACACACACACACAUAUACAUUUAUUAGUUUUUGGACAACUAAUUUUUUAAGCAUGGAGAUUAAAAUUUUGAUCUUAAACUGAAGUUUGGUGUUCAUUUUGGUCAGUUAUUAAAACUCUUGAUCUGAUGCUUAUUGGAAUAAGCAUAAGAAGAGUAACAUAAGCCAAAAAAAAUGGAGCUUCCAAAUUCAAACUAAUCCUACUUUAGUUAGCUAGAUUAUUUUAGUUAAGUUUCUUAUAAAAAUAUGAUAUGUAUAGUUUACAAAUUGUGAUUGAUUCAAUAAAAUUUAUUAUAUCUUACUUUUCUUUGAUGCAUAAAUUCUUAGAUUGACUUUGUUUUAAUUAUUUUUUCUUAGUAUACUUUUUUUUCAAUAAAAUAAAAAUAUUAUAUAUUUCAAAAUUUUAAUUAUGCUAAAUAAAAACACUUAUGGUGAAGCACGGGCAUCAUACUAUUGUUAAUAAAAGUCUUUACCUUAAUUCGUACACAAUAUUUCUAAUAUCUUUGAAAACAAUUUUAUGAUAUUAUUUUGAUACAAGUUUGCCAUUUCUGAGAUCAAAUUAAACAAAAUUUUUUUAUUUUGUAUUUGUUUGAAUACGAAUUAAGUUAAAUGGAAUCAAACUAAUUAAUACAUUCACAUAAACAUUAUCUAAUUUUUAAUAUGAGUUGAAUUAGAAUUUUAUUUCUCAUAUAAUUUCACAUAAGUACUAUAGGAAGCAUAUUACUAAAAAGAUUGAGAUAUGUGAUAUAUAAAUAAACACAUAUUGGUAAAAAUUAAUAACAAGUAUUAUUCUCAAUUACUCUAAUAAUAACUUUCUAAAACUUUCUCUUACUUAAUUUUUGACUAUUUACAUUACUAGAAAAAACUUACAUGAAGUUUUUUUUUGGUGAAUUUAUGUGAAGUUUGUAAAGUUCUUUCUUAAAAAUGAUUUAGUAAAAACUUUAAUAAAAAAUCCAAAUUGAUAAACUAAUAGAGUUCAAUGUAAACAAUUAAUAAUAUAUGCAAAAAUUAUUAAAAAUAUUAUUUAUAAUUUAAAUUUGAUCGAUACUUAUUCAAUAGUAAAAAUUCUAUCAAUAUUUUUACUAAAAAUGUUAAAAAUUCUAUCAACAUUUUUACUAAAAUUGUCUAUAUAAAAAAUAUAUCAAAAUUUAUUAAUUUUUUUUUCAAAAUUUGCACACUUAAUCUAUGUAACAAGAAUUUUUAAUAUAUCAAUUUAUAUUAUAGAUUUUAGUUUUUAUAUAAUUGUUUUUAAUAUAAAACUUAGCAUAAAAAAUUUCCUCUAAAUCUUUCUCCUAUAUUACUACAUAGAAUCAUACGAAAAUAGAAUAAGAAAUAGAUCCUAGAGGUUUGUAAAAAAGUAAUAAAUAAAUUGAUUUGGAAAUCCAAAUUAUCAUGAAGCAUAUAAUCUUAAGUCUAAUAUUACUAGAUUAUUCACAUUGUAGAAGUCUUUGGAGUUAAAGUAAUACUAACUAGCAGCAAAAAAAGGGUUUUUUUUAAUGUAUUUAUGUCAAACCAAAUCUUUGACAAUAUUAAACAAUCAGCCUAUUCCUAAUUAUUAGCUUGAAGCCUUGAACCAUUGAACCUUGACACGAUUAAGAAUGAUUAUAAAGCAAAUUUGUGUUACUAUUUCAAAGAUGAUUUUCACUUUUAGCCACUGCAUUACCAAACAUUUCCCAUAAAUUUCCCCCUUUCAUAAGUCCUAACUACUAAGUAGAAACUUUUCACCAUAAAGUUGUCAGGGUUGGACUACAGCCUACUAGGGUGUAAUUGGAUUGAAUCAAAUUAAUAUAGUAAAAAAGUUGAACUCAAACUCGAUUUGAAAUUCAUUGUUCGAAAUUUGUUGCUCAAAAUUUAAUUUGAGUUCGAUCAAAUUUUGAUUUUCAAACUUGAGUUCAACUUGAAAUAAAUAUCAAGUUACUUAAGUUCUCUCUCGAUUAGACUCGUUUACUAAAUAAAAAAGAGCUCAAUUUCAAAUCUUCAUUGUAAGCUUGAUUAUUUAUGUUUGAACUUAAGUUUGUACUCGAAUUGAUAUACAUAUAUAACGAUAAAAAAUAAUUUUCUAAUUAAAAUAACAAAUAUAUGUUAAAAUAUAAAAGUUUUAAUAGGAUCGCGAACUAUUUAAGUCAAACAUUAAAAUAUCGAACUCGGCUCGCUCAAUAAGUUGAGCUACUCGACUUUGGCUCAAUAAUAAUUGAACAAAUUUUGAGUUUUAUCCAAAUCAAAACUUAAAAGAGUUUAUGAAUAUUGAUAUAUCAUUUGCAUUCUUAAAACCUACCAUAUUCAGGUUAUUGCUGGGCCAAGCACCAAUUCAAAAUGUCUAUGUUGGGUUAAACUAAGACCCUUGUAUAGCUAAAGUUAAUUUCCACAAAUUCCUUACUAAUUCAGCAACAACAUCCAAAACAUAAGGUUGCAGCUCCCAAAUUUAACAUUUUGCUUAUAAGAGUUGGCUCAACUCAAAGCCCUCAAAUCAUGUACCAACUUUUCCUUUUUGUUUUACUAUCAUUUUUUUUUCAUUUGAGAAAACAUCUAUAUUCUUCUUAUUUUGGUUCAUCUCGUGCAACUUUACUGAUGCACUACUAGCUUCACCAAUCACCACUUUUACAUAUUGUUGUUGGUGAACCAUAAAAAAAAUGUUCACACAAACAAAAAUUGUCAAUCUUUAAGUAAUGCAAAGUGUCAAUGGGGCCUUAAACCAAUGAUAGACCCCUAUAGCCACUAAGUAAAAAGGCUUAGCACUAAUGACAAUAUUCGUCAACUAUGGACUGCUUAUGUUUGGUAUCUUUUUAAGGAAGGCACCUGAUUUUCAUUGAAUGGUAUUAGAGCGAGGGGAUAGUACCUCGUUGAAUUAUCUUCCCUCGUUGAAUGGUAUUAAAGUUUCAACCUUAUUUAGUUUGUUAGUUUUUUGGUGUCAUCUUCUUGUUGUUGUCAUCUCUUUGUUGAAUGGUAUUAGAGUUUUCUUGAGGUAUAUAGAAUAAAAAAACUAAUAUAUUAUUAGACUGGUGGAAUUAGAUAACCAAAACUUCUUUCUCAUGAAUAUGUUAAACACUAUUGAUUCACAACCUUCAACCUCUAGAUCUUUUUUUUCUUUACCUUAUCCUGUAUUUAAAGAAUCAUUUUCUUCUAAAUUAAAUGUCCUUUAUGAAAUUAAUUGUAUCCCAAAAAAUAAAAAAAAUCCAAGAAACAUAACUUCCUCUUGUAAAUCCUUAUAAUGCUUUCUCUAGAUCUCCUACUUCUUUAGUUAUAUCCAUAAAAACCCUUCUCAAACAAAAAUGUAAAGCUCUAAAAGAAUAAGUUCAAGCUUCUAAGUUUGAUUAAUGUAUUCUUCUAGUAGGAUCUUAUGAGCACUUUGUUACUCUUAAGAUUUCUUUAGAAUUUCUAGAAUAGUGGAUAGAACAAAGAGACACCCAUAUCCACUUUGGUGUUAUUAGAAUAGCAUUAAGUUUUUAUAGGCUAAAUGGUAAUCCUAUUUGGACCAAGAUGGCUUUACUGUAUACAAGGUUUAAAGACUAUAAGCAUGCAAUAUUUGACAUAAUUGAGAUGACUUUAAAUGUGAGAAUUGUUUCUACACAGUAUUUCCUAACUACAACAUGUCUCUACAAUAUCAUACUCUUUAAAUGCUCUAAAAGUUUAAGUUUAGUUUGUUGGAACUCAGAAGAAAGAAUUUCAGGCAACUCUUCACUAUUAGAUGGCUUACAGAAUCCAAGAUCAUGCCAUAAACCUCCAUUUGCUUGACAUUGGCAGUGUAGUCUUUGUAAAGUUAAAAGUUGUAGACAAGAGCCCCAGAUGCAUUUACAUUCUAAAAUAGAUUUUAAAUGAAGAUUUCGCUACCCUGCUUUUUCAGUUAUGGACAACAAGUUACCAAAAGCUUUGGAACUAGAAUGUACCCAUCGAACACUUUAAUCUUUGCUACACCAUAAACCUAGAUGGUACUAUCACAAUCAAAUUUGAUCAUAAUAAGCAAAAAGAAACCCCUACUCUAGCCUUUGUCUUUCCAACAUAGUUUAUGAUGCAACCAUGUCAACUAGAGCCAAAUGUAGUAGUUACACACUUUAAGCCUAAUGGAUUACUUGUAUAUACAUAUAGAUCUCCAGAAAAACAUUACUAUUGAGACAUUGAUUGUAGUUGCAAAAGAUGCCAGAUGGAAAGACAUAGAAGUUUAUUUGACGAUCACUAUAAUAAUUAAAAAAAAAACAAGACGCAAAUCUUUCAGCAAAAGUUGAAAGAAAGAUUUGAAAAUGGAGACCUUAAAGUAAAUAUCCUUGGCAAACCUUUGAGAAAGUUUGAUUAUUAUGUCAUUUAUCCCAAAGACAAGAAGCUAGACAUCCCUUAGUCAAAUUGUUCAAACCAAAAACCUGAAAAGCCAAAACCUUGACCAAAAAUACCCUUACCUUGUUAUGCUGUUAGUUUUGCUUACAUUGCUAAAAAAUAUUCAGAAAAAGCCAAGCUCUAAAAAACUAUAAAUAAUAAGUCAACAAUGUUGUUCUAGAUGUUUCUCCUAAACCUUUUUUUCAAAUUUGUAUGAUGUAGCCAAUAAGAUCUUCUGAUUCUUAUGAUGCAAAAUUUCUUUUUUUUUUCUAGGAAUUCAUAAAAGAUCAAUAUAAGUACAUCCCAAAAAUCUCAAAUAGCUAAUUGAAUGCAACAAUGGUUACACUUAUUCCUUUGUUGAAAGCAAAAGAGAAAUGAAAAGCCUCAAGCUUCAACUAGCAGGUAUCAAAAAUCAACUUUGUCAUAAACAACAAUAACAAGCCUCAAGUUCAAAUAUCUUUGCCCUAGUAAACAUUGGAAUGCAUGAUAUUCCUUACCAAGCAUACACUCCACAUUCACCUCCAAAACCUUUCUUCACCCCAUUCUAAUACAAAACUAAACUAAGCACAUUAGUGUUCACACCCCUAAUCUACAACCAUUACCUUAUACCCUUAGAUAAUAUUUUUUACGCCCAUUUCGGAACAACCAUUCUUUACUCCCCCUUUAAAUAAAUAAAUAUAUUUAGAUAAAAAAUAGUCAAUUGAACAGAAACCUAAAAAUGCAAAACAACCACUUCUUUAAUUUUCAAAACCAAAAACAGUCGCAACCACAGUUGCAAUUUUAUUUACCCUCAUUUCUGAAAACUCAACUGGUGAUUCUUCUAAACCAUUAUCCCAGGUUAUGAUUUCUUCCACACCAAACAUCUUUCCUAGAAUUUUCUAGUAAAUGGCACAAGAAAAUCUUCUUCAGUUUUUAAUUGAAGGCAUUUUUCCUACUAGAGAUGUAUAAGAUACUUCUAUGAUGGACUUUGAUGAAGUAUUUUUUGAUGAUGAGACUAAUAGUGUCAUCCAAUAGAUCUUCAUAAUAGAACUAAUAGUUGAAAUCCUAGAUGACAAUCUAGUAGUUCAUAACCUAGAAUAAAUGGAUAGUGAUCAAGAACUUCUUUCUUUUUUUUUUUUUUUUUAAGCUCAUAAUUCCUUAUCAUUAUCCAGAUUCUCAGUGUUCACAAUUGAUGACUUUCUUACAUCCAAAUGGCAUUCAAGAUUCCAAGAAUUUUUUCCAUAGGGGUAGUUGAAUUGAAUUCUAAUCCUAACAUCAAAAUGCUGAUAGUUUUAAUAUGUUUUGUUUCAAGGCUGGUUGAAACCUUCAAUAACUUUUAGGAUAAUAUUGGUGAAUAUAGAUGGUUACAGUUUCUUCAAUGCCAUAUAAUUACAAAAGCUGUAUAUUAGUUUUUAGCAAUAUUUUGUGGCUAAGAAACUUAUCGAAUGGAUAAGAUUAAAGAGUAAUUUUUCAAGUUAAAAUACUGUUCACUCAAUCCAAAAGAUCUUGACAAACGCUACCAACAAUUUUUUUAGUAUUUUUAUCUGCUUGGUGGAUUGGAUGAUGUUAAUCUGAAACAAGCUUUCUUCAACUCAGUUUCAGAAGAUCUUGCUUAAUAGAUAAGAACUCAACUCAAUCUUAGAUCUCUUGAUUUGAAAAGCAUGAACCUUAGUGACAUUUACAAGGUUAUAAUGAAAGCUUUUGACAAGAUUUAUGAAGAGCACAAGUACAUUAUAGACUUUGUGAACAAUUACAGAAAAAUAGAUAGACUAUGUUCUUAUUCUUCAAUUGGUUACAGAUCAAAUUUUUUGAAAAAAGCUCAUCAUAUUUUUGUUAUUAGAAGAAGAAAAAACAAUUCAAAAAGUUCAAUGUGUUUAGACGCCUCAAAAGCUAUAAUUUUUCAAACACAAGAAACUUUCCAAAAAGCUUAAAAGAUUUCAAAGAUUCAAGUUAGGUAGAAAGAAAAGAGACUAAAAGAAAAAAAAGGUAACAAAUUUUUUUUUAUGGAAAAUCAAGUUAUUUUGCAAAGAACAAUCCAAAAUCUGAUGAGAAAUCCAUUAAGAUGAUACAGGAUAUUGCAAAUAUCAAGCUUCCUUAAUGGUCUUAGAAAUAGACACAAUCAGUAAAGAUGCUCAAGGUCAAGUUAAAGUUUAUUUUAGCCUUGAAGAUUCCCUCAGAUAUCAAAAGAAUCUUAUAGACUGAUGAAAGUGAUAAAUUUUAAUCCAUGAUUCUCUUUAAAGGAAAAGAUGAAAAAAGAUAGAUAUGUGGAUACAAAAGUAGCAAAUUCAAAUUGUAGACACCCAAUCAGGUCCGGGCCCGGAUCAAUUGGGCCUGACCCGGAUCAAUUGGGCCUGACCCAGAUCAUUUGGGCCUGGCCCAAAUGGGCAAGGCCCAAUUGAAUUUUUACCCGUAUUUUUUAUUUUUUAUUUUUAUUUUUUUUUCUCUCUUGUGUAUUUUAUUAUUUAUUAUUAUGUAUUAAUAUAUGUAUAUAUAUAUAUAUAUAUUUUUUUUCAUUAGAAUAGAUUUAUAUGUAUAUAGUUAUAUAUUUAUUAUUAUUAUAUUAUUAUUCUUAUCUUUUUUUUAAUUAUCUGUUCUGAUUUUUUCUGAUUUUCAGAUAUUAUUUGAAAAUUUUUUGUCUUUUGAUUUAUCUUUCCAAUUAUCUAGAUUUUUUUUUUAAUUUUAUUUUAAUUUUUAUUUUGGAGGGCUAGGAUUCAAAGUUGAAGACUCCCACUCUGAAGGGGAAUUCAAUCAGAAGAGUCCAAUUGGAUUCAAAGACUGAAUUCCCGUCCAAAGAGGAAUUGGGAUUGAUCAGAAACUCCUGAUCAAUCCCUAUAAAAAGGACCCCCCUGGAACAGUCAAGAACACACAGAAAACAGAAGCAAAAGCUACUGAUUGAGAGAAUAGGGGUGUUUAGAGAGCUAAGGAAAAGUUUAGGAGUGUUCUGGCAGUGAGAAAAAUUUUUUAGAAAAAUUUGGCGAAAAAAUUUUCUAGAAAUUUCCAGAUUCCGGCGAAAAUUCCGGCGACUUUUGAAUUUUUCGGCGACAAUUCCGGCGAACUUUGAAGUUUCCGGCGACAGACCCAGUUUCCGGCGGAGAAUCCCAGAAACCGGCGACCAUCCGGCCAAUUUCCGGCGAAAUUCCCAGAUUCCGGCGAAAUUUCCAGAAUCCGGCACCGGCGUUCUUCAAAUUCUAGAGAGAAGGCAGAGAAGAAGGGAAGAAGAGAGAGAGAGGGGAGGAACGGAGGAAGGUGCCUUUUAUACCCUCCCAAAACGACGUCGUUUUGGCUUUAAGUUAAUAAGAGGAUCCGCGCGUUUUGCCGAACCCGACCCGACCCGAAGCGUCGACCCGCUUUCUGACCCGCGCGUUUCAGCCCCUCCGAGCCGAGCCGAGCCGCGAUCCGAGCCGCUCCAGGUUUUUUUUUUUUUUUUUUUUUUUUUUUUUGAAUUUUUUUUAUUUGACUUUGAUUUUGAUCUUGAUUUUUUUUUCUUUUUUCUUUAAUUAAUCCGACGACGGAGCCUCUAAAAGUAAAAACAGUAGUUUUUCUUGCAUACUCCUGAGGUGAGGGAAUUUUCUCAAUUUUCUGCUAAAAGUAUUAGAGACAAUUGAGAAUAAUUUCCGAUAAUUAAUUACUUGGCUGAUUUUGAUUUUUUUUUUCUUUAAUUAAUCCGACGACGGAGCCUCUGCAAGUGAAACAGUAGUUUUUCUUGCAUACUCCUGAGGUGAGGGAAUUUUCUCAAUUUUCUGCUAAAAGUAUUAGAGUCAAUUGAGAAUAAUUUUCGAUAAUUAAUUAAUUGGUUGAUCUUGAUUUUUCUUUAAAUAAUCCGACGACGGAGCCUCUGCAAGUGAAACAGUAGUUUUUCUUGCAUACUCUUGAGGUGAGGGAAUUUUCUCAAUUUUCUGCUAAAAGUAUUAGAGUCAAUUGAGAAUAAUUUUCAACAACUAACUACUUGGUAAAAUUUUAAGGCUUUUGGAUAACACAAAUUCAAGCUGGUACCAUCUUUUGAUGGGCGUUGUGAGGGUGCUAUAACCUUCCUCACACGUAACCGAACUCCCGAACUCUGUUCUGGUUAAGCAGACCCGAACCUAUUCUUUUAGGGACCCUUAAGCUUAGGUGUUCCCUAAAAGGGCAGAUUCCUUAGGUGGCCAAUCACACCUGGAUAAAAGAUUGGUGGCGACUCCCUAAAGUCAAUGUCUGGCGAUAGAUCCCCGGAUCUAGACGUUAUGACAGCUUGGCGACUCCACUGGGGACCUUGAGAGUCAGGCCAGCAAAUAAUUUGUGUUAUCCAAAAGCCUAAUAAAAUUGAACCCUUUUUGUAUAUAUGUAUUAUUAUUCAUUCAUGUCUGUUAAUUAUGUCAUUCAUAUGCAUGUGCAUAACAUGAGCUCUACACCCGAGCUCCGUCCCUUUAGGAGGGAGUAAAGUACCUAUUGCUUUCGUGAGGUCUAAUGCCUCCGCAGUGGCUAGCGAAAUACUCCCACUCAAAUUGAACCUUUUCCGCUUGUAGCCUGUAAUGGGUGAGGAUUAGGGUGCCUUACUAGUCUAUGAUGGACAAGGAUGUAAGGAACAAUUUGAGGACCUUUAGACUCUGACUUUAAAACCACAUGUAGCGAACCUUAAGAGUGCCUAACCCUAGGAUAGAGUCCUUUCUACCCAAUGAUAGAUAUACCCUGAAAUUAGGACACAAAAAAGGUGUUUAUCUAAUCAUUUUGAUUGCUUAACUUUGUGUAUUAUUUUUUGUAAUGUUAUGCAUCAGCAUUACUUUCAUUUCAUUCAUGAAACUAACUAUGUUGUUUGUCUGAUUGUAUGCAUCUGUAUUCUUUUCAUGAUCAUGUUUCAACACAAUCAUUUGCAUUCAUUUCAUGCUAGAUUUCAUUCAAAAAAAUGUACAUUUCAUUUGUGUAUCAAAGCAUCAUACAUAAGGCACAGCAUAACAUUUCUAAUCAUGAGUAUGGUACUCAAGGUCCGAGGAUAGCUCCAUCUAGCGAAAACCUUGCUCAUCCAUACAACACAAGAUCCAGAGCAAGGCAAAUGGAGGAGGAAAGUUCUCAUAGAUUUGAAAAGCUAGAAAAAGCUCAGGAGAAGAUUGAAAAUGAACUUAGCAAAAUUCUGGAGGCCCUCAAUAAUAUGAAUAAAGGAAAAGGAGUUGAAGGAAGUACAAGCCAGCAAGAAGUGGCUGACCCAUUGUAUCCUCCAGGUUUUGGCCCACCUCAAGCCCAGUCUGCCCAAGAGGUCCCGCCACAACAUUUCGCCUAUCCUGGAAUGCCAUCAGCUUUCAACCCAGGACAGUAUAACAGCUAUAUAAAUCCUGUCUUCACUGAAAAGGCAGCAGAACCAAUUCCUGAUCUAGAUGAUUUAAAAGAGAAGGAAAAGGAAAAGAUGAGAGUAGAGGCUGAGGAAAGUUCCAAGAUUAGCAUGCUAGAGCAGAGGCUAAGGGCUGUGGAAGGAUUUAGCUGUUAUGGGUCAGUAGAUGCUGCUGGGCUCUGCCUAGUCCCUGAUGUGGUUAUCCCCUAUAAGUUCAAAGUACCGAAGUUUGAAAAAUAUGACGGUACAAAGUGUCCCAAAACCCACAUCACCAUGUAUUGCAGAAAGAUGGCAGCUCAUGCACAUGAUGAAAAACUCUUGAUGCAUGUUUUUCAGGACAGUCUUACUGGCUCUGCCGCCAGAUGGUAUGUUCAGUUGGAUAGGACUCGUAUUCGCUCUUGGAGUGAUAUGGCACAUGACUUCAUCAGUCAAUAUCGACACAUUAUCGAUUUGGCUCCUGAUCGUUUGUCUUUGCAGAAUCUGGAGAAAAAGUCAAACGAGUCUUUUAAAGAGUACGCCCAAAGAUGGAGAGAUAUAGCUUCACAGGUACAACCUCCACUGACAGAGAAAGAGACCACAGUGCUGUUUGUUAGCAUUUUAAAACCUCCCUAUUAUGAAAAGAUGAUAGGGAAUGCAACAAAGAAUUUUGCUGACAUGGUAAUCUCUGGAGAAAUUAUUGAAAGUGCCAUAAAAAAUGGCAAGUUGACAGGAGGAGAAACCAAGAAGACAUCAGAAAAGAAAGAAGCUGAAGCUCAAGCUGUAAGCUUUGAUAGACAACAAUUCAGGGGUUAUCAACCCUAUCCAUCCCAAGGCUACUCUCCAUACUAUCCCGCUGUGAAUAACGCCUCAUCCUACCCAUACCAGCUAGCCCCACAACCAUCUUAUUCAUCCACUUACUGCCUUAACAUUCAAGCUCCUGUAAGAACCCAAAUUCGUCCUACUAACCCAGCAAGUGGCUCACGAGAACAACGGACUACUCGAGAAAAACCUGUAUUUGAUCCAAUCCCUAUGACUUAUACAGAGUUAUAUCGAGAACUCUAUAAUAGCCACUUGAUUGCCCCCAGCCAUGUGGAACCACUUAAACCACCAUAUCCAAAGUGGUAUGAUCCUAUAGCCCGUUGUGACUACCAUUAUGGAAUUACUGGCCAUUCUACUGAAAAUUGCACUGCUUUAAAGUAUAAGGUGCAACGAUUGAUCAAUGAUGGAAUGGUAAGUUUUGAUCAGGGAAAAGCAACGGCAUCUAAUGUUAGUGCUCUGAACGAAAGUCAAGAACAGAAAGGAUCCGGAGAUUCACAAUGAAUUGAGGGGCAAGAUGUCAAUGGAGAUAAGGCUGGUUGAAGGUUUCUUCUGUCAUUUUGGGAUUUCUUUUCAAACAAUGUUAGAUUUUUUUUGCAAUAUGACUUCACUUGUUAUCAUUUUAAUAAAGGCAAGUCAAUGCAUUUCAUUACAUUUUUCUCUUUCACUUGACCAUUUAUUCCAUGCCUUGUUACCUUCCAUAACUUCACAUUCCCAUUCUUAAAUUUCAGAUGAUGAAUAUUUAGACAAUGAUAAUAAUGAUUCUGGGAUUUAAUUUUGAGAACUCAUUCACAGAGGAGAUGAUCUGAGCGAAAAUAAAGAGGGUAAGCCAUUACCAGAGAUGAAAGAGAUAUAUCUUGAAGGUGUGCAAUCUUUUAUACAAGUUCAUGAGCUUUGUUCAAUAGAUGAUGUUCAAGAAAGGUAUUCACAAUUGAGAUGAAAAAUGGCCAUCUUUCUUUUACCAUUUGAAAAACCAUUUAUUGUUACCCCUUUGAGCUUAUCAUUUUUUUUUUGAAGAACCCCAACCAAGGAUCACCCUCUACACUGGAGGGUAAUUUUUGAAAAAAAAAAAAAAAAAAAAAAACCACAAAAGGUCUCAAAGAUGAAAAGAGAAAGAAAAGUAAAAGAAAAAAUAAAUGCCACACAUGUCUUGGGGCAAAGUAAUGAGAAUCCUUUGUGUGAGGAAAGAAAAAAUAGUGAAACGAUGUGGGGAAAAAUGCCAAGCUGCAUCAAAUGAUCCUUCGGUCUUGAACCUUUUUAAUACAUGUUUUGAGCCUAUUAUAUCCAUUUUUUUUUAUGACCCUUCACCUUGACCUACAUUACAACCUUGAAAAGUCCAUUUAGAUCAAGUGUGAAUACUCAACUUGAAUGAUCAUAUGUUGAGCGAAGGCAUGCUCAUGAUGAAGCGAUGGAAUCAUGCUACAUUACCUUAAAAGUUUGAUGUAUGAAGGAUGUCAAUAAUAGGUGAAGAAUGAGAAAAAAAGAUGAUGAAAAAAAAGAAAAAGAAAAAAAAGAAAGAAGAAAAAAUGAAAAAAUGAAAAAAUGAAAAAAGAGAUCCAAAUUGAAAACCUGAAAGGGUGAUUUUGGUACCCAAAAAAAAAAAAAAAAAAAAAGAUCCAGGUCAAAUGGCUCACAUGAAUGAAAGUUCAAAGACAUCUGAAGAUUUCUCAAAGACUGGGGCAGAGUUCGCCAAGCUCAAGAUGACUUCAACAGUAAAUGAAUGAGUUUUUGAAAAAGAAUCCUAGAUUAAUGUUGAAAAUUGUCUGAAUAUUCAUCAUUUGGACAUACCAUUUACCUCAAUGACAUCCAAUUUAUUUCCUUUCCCAUUUAUUUUCUACCAAAAUAGAUCUCCAUUGAUUAUCUUUACCAUAAUUCACUUUCUGUCCUCUUAUUGUUACACCCUUAGAAUGAAUUGAGAAAAUGCUUGAUUGCAUUGUAUUUGUCAAAAUUUGAAAUGAUAAUGAAUGAAUGAACAUGUACUUAAAAGAAUCUUACAUUCAUUUGAAAAGAAAUCUAAGAUGAUGAAGAAAUGGUAGAAACCUAAAAGAGAUGAUGGGGCAAAUCUGGAAAAGUGAUGAAUUGAUCGAUAUGACUUGCAAGUUAUGAUUAAAUGAUGAAGACAAUCAGUGGACAGAGUUUGUUUUUGAAUGGUUAAUGCUGAGACAGAGUAAUGACCCAAUGAUGGUGGAUGAAACUUGUUUUGAAAAUUUGUUAUUGCUGAGAAAUUCAUUGAAUGAUGGUCAAGUGAUGAUCGAUUGAUGAAACUUAUUCCAAAGUAUUGAAAAACAGAACAAGGAAGAAUCUGAGUGGAAGAGACAAUUAAGAGCUACACUGGUUCGAUCUUAGAAGAGCAGUGCAAUUGGAUCCUUGAGGAAUCAAAGGGCUUGACACCCAAGAAAAAAAAAGAGCUUGAGAAACUUGAGUACCAUACAUUGAACAGGAAUUAAUUGACCAACAUUUGCAUAGCAUGCAUUGAAAUUCAUAUGCAUUUGCAUAGCAUACACUACUUUCAGGAAAGUAUAGUGUACAAAUUCAAGAAGCAGGGGUGUUCCAACAUCCCACAUGAAAAAGACAGAUAUAAAAAGACUUUGCAAGUUUGAGAAGAAACUUGUCAGGUAAGUUCCUAAUCCUCGAAAUAGGAUGUCUCUCGGUAUCAGGGUUGAUUUAUAAGACCUUUGGGCAUAAUCUCCUGAAAUCCCUUCAAACACAACUUUCAACUCCUUCGGACAUGAUUGUCUAGGAGUAUUUACUUUCCAAAGUUCGUUGCCUCUGUUUAGAGGAGCAAUUUAUUUUUUCAAAGUCGUGGUACCUCUGUUGAGAGGAGCAAUUUACUUUUCAAAGUUCGUUGCCUCUGUUUAGAGGAGCAAUUUAUUUUUCCAAAGUCGUGGUACCUCUGUUGAGAGGAGCAAUUUACUUUCCAAAGUUCGUUGCCUCUGUUUAGAGGAGCAAUUUACUUUCCAAAGUUCGUUGCCUCUGUUUAGAGGAGCAAUUUAUCUUUCCAAAGUCGUGGUGCCUCUGUUUAGAGGAGCAAUUUAUUUUUCAAAGUCGUAGAGCCUCUGUCAAGAGGAGCUAAAAAAAAAAAAAAAAAAAAUGAAAAUGUCGAGUCGGGUCUUGACUGGGUGUCUACGUCUUUGCGUAAUUUCUGUUUCACAGAAAAUACGCAAAGAGGGGCAGCUGUAGACACCCAAUCAGGUCCGGGCCCGGAUCAAUUGGGCCUGACCCAGAUCAUUUGGGCCUGGCCCAAAUGGGCAAGGCCCAAUUGAAUUUUUACCCGUAUUUUUUAUUUUUUAUUUUUAUUUUUUUUUCUCUCUUGUGUAUUUUAUUAUUUAUUAUUAUGUAUUAAUAUAUGUAUAUAUAUAUAUAUAUAUAUUUUUUUUCAUUAGAAUAGAUUUAUAUGUAUAUAGUUAUAUAUUUAUAUUAUUAUAUUAUUAUUCUUAUCUUUUUUUUUAAUUAUCUGUUCUGAUUUUUUCUGAUUUUCAGAUAUUAUUUGAAAAUUUUUUGUCUUUUGAUUUAUCUUUCCAAUUAUCUAGAUUUUUUUUUUAAUUUUAUUUUAAUUUUUAUUUUGGAGGGCUAGGAUUCAAAGUUGAAGACUCCCACUCUGAAGGGGAAUUCAAUCAGAAGAGUCCAAUUGGAUUCAAAGACUGAAUUCCCGUCCAAAGAGGAAUUGGGAUUGAUCAGAAACUCCUGAUCAAUCCCUAUAAAAAGGACCCCCCUGGAACAGUCAAGAACACACAGAAAACAGAAGCAAAAGCUACUGAUUGAGAGAAUAGGGGUGUUUAGAGAGCUAAGGAAAAGUUUAGGAGUGUUCUGGCAGUGAGAAAAAUUUUUUAGAAAAAUUUGGCGAAAAAAUUUUUUGGAAAUUUCUGGGAAAUUUCCAGAUUCCGACGAAAAUUCCGGCGACUUUUGAAUUUU
rnacentral:lncRNA from 1 species